GGUAAUAUGGCCGAGAAGUUUAGGUGAUAAACUGUAAAUUUAUUUAGGAAAGAAUUUUCUGUUGCCA
rnacentral:tRNA from 1 species